UACGAAGGGGGCUAGCGUUGUUCGGAAUUACUGGGCGUAAAGCGCACGUAGGCGGGUCUUUAAGUCAGGGGUGAAAUCCUGGAGCUCAACUCCAGAACUGCCUUUGAUACUGAGGAUCUUGAGUUCGGGAGAGGUGAGUGGAACUGCGAGUGUAGAGGUGAAAUUCGUAGAUAUUCGCAAGAACACCAGUGGCGAAGGCGGCUCACUGGCCCGGUACUGACGCUGAGGUGCGAAAGCGUGGGGAGCAAACAGG
rnacentral:rRNA from 1 species